rnacentral:rRNA from 1 species
AGUGAACGCUGGCGGUAGGCCUAACACAUGCAAGUCGAACGGCAGCACAGUAAGAGCUUGCUCUUACGGGUGGCGAGUGGCGGACGGGUGAGGAAUACAUCGGAAUCUACUUUUUCGUGGGGGAUAACGUAGGGAAACUUACGCUAAUACAGCAUACGACCUACGGGUGAAAGCAGGGGAUCUUCGGACCUUGCGCGAUUGAAUGAGCCGAUGUCGGAUUAGCUAGUUGGCGGGGUAAAGGCCCACCAAGGCGACGAUCCGUAGCUGGUCUGAGAGGAUGAUCAGCCACACUGGAACUGAGACACGCUCCAGACUCCUACGGGAGGCAGCAGUGGGGAAUAUUGGACAAUGGGCGCAAGCCUGAUCCAGCCAUACCGCGUGGGUGAAGAAGGCCUUCGGGUUGUAAAGCCCUUUUGUUGGGAAAGAAAAGCAGCAGGUUAAUACCCCGCUGUUCUGACGGUACCCAAAGAAUAAGCACCGGCUAACUUCGUG